UACAGAGGUCCCAAGCGUUGUUCGGAUUCACUGGGCGUAAAGGGUGCGUAGGUGGCGGGGUAAGUUUGAUGUGAAAGCUCAGGGCUUAACCCUGAAAUGGCAUUGAAUACUACUCUGCUGGAGGUUUGGAGGGGGGACUGGAAUUCUUGGUGUAGCAGUGAAAUGCGUAGAUAUCAAGAGGAACACCAGUGGCGAAGGCGAGUCCCUGGACAACACCUGACACUGAGGCACGAAAGCUAGGGGAGCAAACAGG
rnacentral:rRNA from 1 species